GGAGCCUGCGGCUUAAUUUGACUCAACACGGGAAACCUCACCCGGCCCGGACACGGAAAGGAUUGACAGAUUGAUAGCUCUUUCUCGAUUCUGUGGGUGGUGGUGCAUGGCCGUUCUUAGUUGGUGGAGCGAUUUGUCUGGUUAAUUCCGAUAACGAACGAGACUCCGGCAUGCUAACUAGUUAUGCGGCCCCGAGCGGUCGGCGUCCAACUUCUUAGAGGGACAAGUGGCGUUCAGCCACACGAGAUUGAGCAAUAACAGGUCUGUGAUGCCCUUAGAUGUCCGGGGCUGCACGCGCGCCACACUGAGCGGAUCAGCGUGUGUCUACCCUUCGCCGAGAGGCGUGGGUAACCCGCUGAACCCCACUCGUGAUAGGGAUUGGGGAUUGCAAUNNNNNNNNNNNNNN
rnacentral:ncRNA from 1 species